UUGGUUUCACAGGUGAAUUCUAUUAACAUUUAACGAUGAAGUAACAUCAAUUUUGCAGAAGCUCCUUCAGAAAAUGGAGGAGGAGGUGUCUUCCGGACUAGUUUUAUUAGACCAAGAUAACCUGGCAACAAAACCUGACAAUAAGUUUACAAAAAAAGUUACAGCUCAAUAUCUCUGUGAACAUGGAUGCAAAAAUCACUUAAUUUAUAAAGUAUAGUACAGCAUGUCCAAAUAAGGUUUAUCUCAGGACAAUAAGGUUGGUUUAACAUUUCAAAGUCAAUCAGGGAGUUCCCAUUGUGGUGCAGUGGAAACGAAUCCAACUAAUAUCCAUGAGGACUCGGGUUCGAUCCCCGGCCUUGCUCAGUGGGUUAAGGAUCCCAUGUUGCCGUGAGCUGUGGUAUAGGUCGCAGAUGUGGCUUGGAUACCAUGUUCCCAUGUUGCUGUGGCUGUGGUGUAGGCAGGAAGCUGUAGCUCUGAUUUGACCUCUAGCCUGGGGACUGGCAUAUGGCCCUAAAAAGCAAAAAAAAAAAAAAAGUGUAUGUAAAUAAGAGUAACUCACAUAUUUCUUAAAAAGAAAAAGAAAUUUUGCUCCUUAAGUUUUAAGUGCUUGGGCUAUUUAAAGAAAAAUAUUGUUACCUAAAAUAUUGUCACCAAAGCUACAACAGCAAAGAGGUUUUCUGGUUUUCUCAUACUUUAAUCAACACUUUUAAAAGUUUAAUUGCUUUGUAACAAUCCAAUGUCUAAAGCUAUUUAAUAUGUACAAAAUUAAAGCCCACACUAAAGAUACCACUUUUAAAACUUAAAGUUUCUACUGUACAAAGAAGUAGCCCUUACUGGUUUUAUAUUCAUUAUACAAAAAGCAAAGGUUUAAUUUCUAAAUAAGAAGGAUGUAUGAGUUGCCAGAAAUUGGCCCCACAUCAGGAGAGAGAAAGGGAGGAAUGAGGGAAGGACGGGAGGAAAAGAGACUGGGUAUUUCAAACAAUCCUCAUACUGGUUGAUGUCAUCCCAAACCAUCUCUAGACCUUUAAUACUUAUAUCACAAAAAUAAUCCAAGUGAUAGGGAUUAAUGUGCUCUAAAUUUACAAAAAUAAGGGGACAAAUUUUAUCUGGAAAAAGUGGAGGACCAAAUUUCGCUUUAUCUCUAAUCAUCAUCAUCUGGAAAAACUGUAACUUGGAACCCAGCCUCAAGGCAUUUAAGCAUUUCUAUAUAAAUUUCAUUCGGUUAUUUCAAAACUUAAAAUAUGUUUAAUAAUAGUUUAUACAUCUUCUGGUUGGAUCAGGAUUUUCUCUAAUAAAAGGCAAAUGCUGGAGUUCCCAUUGUGGCAGAGUAGGUUAAGAAUCUGACUUCAGUGGCUUGGGUCGAAGCCGUGGCUUGGAUUCCAUCUCUGGCCCUGGUAACUUCCAUGUGCCUCAGGUGUGGCCAAAAAAAGAAAAAAAAAAGCAAAUGCUUUAACAGUCACGAAACAGCUUAUGGAUUUUUAUUUUUCCCUUAGCGAAUAUCUUCAAUACUCUGUAUGGAUAAACAAACAAAAACUUUACAGUACAGGUAAAAUACUUCAAAAACUAUAAAUUACACAUGGCGCUGUCAUUAAAAGAAAACUUUAUUAUCAACAUCAUCCCCAAAUCCUGGUAAGAUAAAUUGAAUAGUUGUAAUGAAUACUGUUAACUACUCAUGUACACAGUCCUACUCCUGAUAGAUGCAAACUCUAUUCCCAGCCAAGGAUACCACUGGAUAAUUUCUCUGUAAUAAACAACUUGGAAAAUGAAUAUAUUAAGAGACAUCAAGGAAAAUCAGUCUUAAAACUAUACCAGGAGUUCUCAUUGUGGCUCAGUGGAAACGAACCCAACUAGUAUCCAUGAGGAUGCGGGUUCCAUCCCUGGCCUCCCUCAGUGUGUCAGGGAUCCGGCGUUGCCUUGAGCUGUGGUGUAGGUCACAGAUGCGGCUGGGAGCCCGAGUUGCUGAGGCUGCGGUGUAGGCUAUAGCUGUAGCUCCUAAUUGACCCCUAGCCUGGGAAAUUCUAUAUGCCGCGGGUGUGGCCCUAAAAAGCAACGAACAAACAAAGGCCUAUACUACAAAGGACGAUUUCGGGUAUUAUUAACCACACACACACACACACACAAAUUCUUAAGCUCUAAAACAUAUGCCCAUGAGUACACACUUCCUAGAAUAAAUAUGCUUAAAUUCCUCCAAUCUUUAUAUCCAGUUCCACUCACUAUCUGACCCCAUGACUUACUAAACAGUUUCCAAAAGUAGGUACCUUCCACCCAGGGCUUUCCAAGUCAAAAUAGAAGAUUGGGGGCAUGGACUUUCAGUUUCUUUCCUGGAGUGCAGAAAGCCAGAAAGUGCACUGCUCCUACCUUUACAAUGAAAAAGAAUGAAGCUAACUUCAAAUUCACGAUUUUUCCCCUUGAACUCAUCUUUUGCUGCCACACAACAAUUGCCAUAAAUUUAGGGGCUUAAAAAAAAAAAAGAUCAUUUCACAAUUACUCUAGUUCAGAAGGCUGGGCAUAGCUUAGCUGGGUUGUCUGAUUAGGGCAGAAAACAAGAUUUUUGGCAGGAUUACAUUACUUUCUGGAAGCUCUAGUGAAGAAUCCAUGUCCAAGCUCAUUCAGAUUGUUGCCUGAAUUCAGUUCCCUGUGAUAGUAGGUCUGAAAUCUGAAUUUUCUUGCUGGCUAUCAGUGUAAUGUUCUCUGUUUCAAGAGGCCGACCACGUUCCUUCUCACAUGGCUCCCUUUUAUCUCCGAACCAGUAACAAACUAAAGAGUCCCUGUCAUGCUGCAAAUCUUUUUUCUGCCACCAGCCGGAGAAAAAGUUACCUGCUUUUAAAGGGCUUAUAUGAUUACAUUUGGCCAUUCCAAACAAUUAAGGAUAAUCUCCCUAUCAUAAGGUCAACUGAUUGGUAACCUUAAUUAAUCUGCAAAAUCUCAAGGAAGGUAAUAUACUCAAGAAUGGGUUAUCUCAUCACAUUCACAGCACAGGAGAUCAGGGUGUGGAAUUUCUCCUGGGGGUGUAAUGAUGCCAGCUGCAUUAUCAGAGAGUUGAGGUUGCAAAGCAAACAACUGGCCAAAGAUCUAAGAGACAAUCACCUGUAGUAAGAGAGAAGACUUGAGCGCUUCCUACCUGGGUCAGAUGCAACCGGUUAGAAGAGUUAAGAAUCCAGUUGAUGACUUGAUGAAGACCAAGUACAGCCUAGCAGGGCAGAGUAAAGCUCUUGGAGGCUGCAAAAAUUGGGGGAAUCUCUGCCCAUUUUCAGUCUUUUUCUCUAUUUAGAUAACAUGCCAGGUCUGAUGGAUGAUUUUAGCAGAGAGAUGGUGACCAUGAGGAAGAUUAAAAUAAAAAUGCUAUUAAGUGAAAGUUUCAGUAGUAGAGAAGAAUGCCACUAACAGACUCACUAGUAGACUUGAUGCAGCCAGGAAAAAAAAUGAAUGAAGUUGAAAAUUAGUCAAUAGAAAUUACCGAAAUGGAAACACAAGGAGAAAAAGAGUGGGAAAAAAAUACACCUAGAACUGAGCAUUGAAGAAAUUUUGAGGCAAGAGCAAAUGGCUUAAACACAAAUGUCACUGGAAUACCAGAAGGAAAAGGGAGAACAGAGCACCAGCAAUAUUUGAAGAAUUAACAGCCAAGAAUAUUCCCAAACUGGAGUUCCCGUCAUGGCUCAGGACUGCUGACAAUCACCUACUGAUUCUCUCCUUCAUAUGAGUAAAUCUGCUGGCACAUAAUUAAUUGCCUCCAUGUCAUUCUUUGAGAGGAGUAUAUGUAGAAUGGAUAUACACAAAGGUGUCAAAAGGGUGAACCUCGGGCAUUCUGUUAUUUAGAGGUCAGAAGCAGAGCUGUAAAUGAGGGCAUUUGGCAAAGCUGGAGAAACUAGGAGAAGGUAUCCUGAAAACCAAGAGAAGAAAGGGUUUCCAGUUGAUUAACUGUCAAAUGCUGCUGAGUGGUUCAAUUAGAGUAGAACUGAGACUUAACUGUGGAUUUGGCAGGUUAGAAGUCACUUGGUUACCUUCACAAGUGUGAAUUCAGGGGACUGGUGAGAACAAAAGCCUAAUGGAAGUAAGACGAUGGGGGAAUAGAGCAGAUCUAAUGGAUCUGGUUGUAAAGGAGAUGAGAGAAAUGAGAUGUAGCUGGAGUGGCAUGGGGGGGGGGAAUUUUAAGUUUUUUUUUGUCUUUUCUAGGGUCGUACCAGCAGCAUAUGGAGAUUCCCAGCUAGGGGUCGAAUCGGGGCUGUAGCCGCCAGCCUACGCCAGAGCCACAGCAACGCGGGAUCUGAGCUGCAUCUGUGACCUACAUCACAGCUCAUGGCAAUGUCAGAUUCAUAACCCACUGAGCAAGGCCAGGGAUAGAACCUGCAUCCUCAUGGAUGCUAGUCGGGUUUGUUAACCACUAAGCCAAGACAAUAACUCCGAGUUAAACUUUGGAACAGGAUAGAUAAUAUUUUCAGAUGAUUAAAAAUUCCACAAAGGAGUUCCUGUAGUGGCUCAGUGGAAAUGAAUCUGACUAGCAUCCAUGAGGACGCAGGUUUAAUCCCUGGCUUCGCUCAGUGAGUUCAGGAUAGGGUGUUGCCUGAGCUUCGGCCACAGCUCCAAUUUAACCCCUAGCCUGGGAACAUCCAUAUGCCGCGCGGGUGCACCUCUAAAAAAGCAAAAAAAAAAAAAAACCCCAAAAAUGAAAAAUAAAAAAAUAACACAUAAAAUAUUAUAUAUAAAAAAAGUCUCCCUCUUACUCCCGACUCCCGUCUGCCCCUGGAAAGUAAAUAUUUGUUUGCUUCUUGUUUAUUCUUCCAUGUUUUUCUUUAUGCAUAUAUAAGAAAAUAAUAUUUGUUUCUAUUUUUAAUGCGAAAGGCAGAAAACUAAUACAUAAUGUUUUCCACAUUCCUUUUUUGUUAAAAAAAACCCUAUGUAUUCAUGAAAGUAUAUCUAUGGGAUAAACUUCCAGGAAUGGAAUUACUGGGUUAAAGGCGUAAGUUUUUGCAAUAUUGAUAGAUAUUUCUCAACUGCCAUCCAUAAGCAUCAAUUUGGAUACUCUCACCAGCCAGGUAUUCCCCAUAGUCUUGAUUUUUAACAAUCUGAACAGUGGAAAAUGCUGAGAGGAUUUCCUUUUAGAGAUGAAAACUAAGGAAACAUGUUGGCUGUAGAAAGCCUGAAUAUGCAGGGGAAAAGAGAGGUGGUAACUGCAGGAGCACAUUCCUUUAUAGGCUAGAGGAGCAGGGUCCAUGUACUGGUGAUUCAUUUACCAGGCACGGAUGCAGGGAGUUGUUGGUACAUUUUGAGUGUGCAAGUGUCCUUUUAGGGCUGCACCCUAGCAUCCCAGGCUAGGGGUCGAAUUGGAGCUGUAGCUGCCGGCCUAUGCCACAGCCACAGCAACUUGGGAUCCCAGCCGUAUCUGUGACCUACACCACAGCUCAAGGCAACGCCAGAUCCUCAGCCCACUGAGUGAGGUCAGGGAUGGAAACUUCAUCCUCAUGAAUGCUAGUCAGAUUUGUUUCCGCUAAGCUACGACGGGAACUCUGGUGCCAGUGUCUUUUGAUUGCUUCUUGUUUUUUUGGUUUUUGUGGGUUUUUUUGGCUGCAGAUGAGGUAUGUGCAAGUUCCCAGGCCAGGGAUUGAACCUGUGCCACAGAAGUGACCCAAGCUCCCGCAGUGACAAUGCUGGAUCCUUAACCUGCUCCACCACAAGGGAAACCCCUGAUUGCUUCUAUUUUAAAGUGAAAUAAGAAUCAAGGUCAUAAGCCAGGAGAAGGGAGAAAGUGUUGAAGAUUUGAGAGAAAAUAGCUGUGAACUGUUUGGCUUGGUGAGUGGGGAAGUAGCCUGCCCAGGGCAGCACCAAGGGCCACCUUGAAGAGUGCAGCUUUAAAUUUAAAGUGAAUUUUGAAGGAAAAGGAGACACCAUGCAUGAAGACUUAUGUUUCAUGGAGAUGUGAGUAAAAACAAAAAAGCAAAGUAUUCAUCUAGGAUUCAUUUAACGAAUACUCAAAGACUCUCCCAUGCAGUGGCACUGCUGCUGGGUGCUGGCUUGUCACUUAAAGCAAAUCACAAGCAUAUUCAAGUUGGUAACAUUAUUCUGACUAAGGUAACAUUAUUCACUCUGCAAACAAAAAUCCAAAAAGUUACCACAGGACCUCUUUAUAUAAAUUGUUCUUGGAGUUCCCAUCCUGGUGCAGCAGAAAUGAAUCCGACUAGGAACCAUGAGGUUGUGGGUUCGAUUCCUGGCCUCGCUGAAUGGAUUAAGGAUCUGGUGUUGCUGUGAGCCGUGGUGUAGGUUGCAGACACAGCUCUGAUCUGGCGUUGCUGUGGCUCUGGCCUGGGCCGGUGGCUACAGCUCCGGUUAGACCCCUUUCCUGGGAAUCUCCAUAUGCCGUGGGUGCGGCCCUCAAAAGACAGAAGACAAAAGACAAAAAUAAAUAAUAAAUAAAUAGUCUUCAUAAAAAAAAAAGUAGAGGCUUAUUCUUAAAAAAGAAAAUUGUUCUCAAAAUUUGGGAAUGGGGAUUCAUAUGCUUGAUAAUCUGAACAGUUUCUCAGAAAAAUAUGCACAUAUACAAAUUUGUAGACAAUUGCACGUGGUGUAGAACCACAAAUAAGAAUCUCUCCUUUGGAGUUCCCAUCGUGGUGCAGCAGGAACGAAUUCGACUAGGAACCAUGAGGUUGCGGGUUUGAUCCCUGGCCUUGCUCUGUGGGUUAAGGAUCUGGUGUUGCCCUGAGCUGUGGUGUAUGUCGCAGGCUCGGCUGGGAUCUGGCGUUGUUGUGGCUGUGGUGCAGGCUGGCUGCUGCUGCUCUGAUUAGACCCCUACCUGGGAACCUCCAUAUACCACAGAUGCGCCCUAGAGAGACCAAAAAAAAAAAAAAAAAAAAAAAA
rnacentral:lncRNA from 1 species